rnacentral:rRNA from 1 species
GAUGAACGCUGGCGGCGUGCCUAAUACAUGCAAGUCGAGCGAAGCGGGGGCGGGUGAAUAACACAUGGAUAACCUCCUAUAAGACUGGGAUAAGUUCGGGAAACCGGAGCUAAACCGGACACUCAUAGAUGGAUCCGCUCUGCAUUGGCUAGUUGGUAAGGUAACGGUUUACCAAGGCAACGAUGCAUAGCCGAACUGAGCGGAUGACUGGUAACACUGGAGCUGGGACACGCACCAGAAUCGGAAGGGAGGCACCAGUAGGGAACCUUCGGCAAGGGGCGAAAGCCUGACGGAGUAACGCGGCGUGAGUGAUGAAGGUCUGCGGAUCGUAAAGCACGGUUAUUAGGGAAGCGGUACCUAACCAGAAAGCAACGGCUAACUACGUGCCAGCAGCCGCGGUAAUAC